rnacentral:rRNA from 1 species
ACGAACGCUGGCGGCGUGCUUAACCCAUGCAAGUCGAACGGAAAGGCCCCUUUGGGGGUCCUCGAGUGGCGACCGGGUGAGUAACACGUGAGUAACCUGCCCUUGACUUCGGGAUAACUUCAGGAAACUGGGGCUAAUACCGGAUAGGAAUCCUUGCUGCAUGGUGGGGGUUGGAAAGCUUCGGCGGUUUUGGAUGGACUCGCGGCUUAUCAGCUUGUUGGUGGGGUAGUGGCUUACCAAGGCUUUGACGGGUAGCCGGCCUGAGAGGGCGACCGGCCACAUUGGGACUGAGAUACGGCCCAGACUCCUACGGGAGGCAGCAGUGGGGAAUAUUGCACAAUGGGCGGAAGCCUGAUGCAGCAACGCCGCGUGCGGGAUGACGGUCUUCGGGUUGUAAACCGCUUUCAGCAGGGGCGAAGCUUGUGGUGACGGUACCUGCAGAAGAAGCACCGGCUAACUACGUG